UUUCUUUUGCAGUGAUGAAAAUGUUCUGAAACUACAUAGUGGUGAUGGUUGAACAACACUUUGAACUGAAAGC